rnacentral:rRNA from 1 species
UACGUAGGGUGCGAGCGUUGUCCGGAAUUAUUGGGCGUAAAGGGCUCGUAGGCGGUCUGUCACGUCGGGAGUGAAAACUCAGGGCUUAACCCUGAGCCUGCUUCCGAUACGGGCAGACUAGAGGUAUGCAGGGGAGAACGGAAUUCCUGGUGUAGCGGUGAAAUGCGCAGAUAUCAGGAGGAACACCGGUGGCGAAGGCGGUUCUCUGGACCGGAACUGACGCUGAGGCGCGAAAGCGUGGGGAGCAAACAGG